rnacentral:rRNA from 1 species
CGAACCGAGCGAACGUUGUUCGGAAUCACUGGGCUUAAAGGGUGCGUAGGCGGGCUGCCAAGUUUGGGGUGAAAUCCUCCGGCUCAACCGGGGAAGUGCCUCGAAUACUGGCGGUCUGGAGGGAGGUAGGGGCGUGCGGAACUAACGGUGGAGCGGUGAAAUGCGUUGAUAUCGUUAGGAACUCCGGUGGCGAAGGCGGCACGCUAGACCUCUUCUGACGCUGAGGCACGAAAGCCAGGGGAGCGAACGGGAUUAGAUACCCCGGUAGUCCUGGCCCUAAACGUUGAGAACUAGGUAGCAGGCCGGACAUGGGUUUGCUGCCGGAGCAAAAGUGCUAAGUUCUCCGCCUGGGGAGUAUGGUCGCAAGGCUG